rnacentral:rRNA from 1 species
UACGGAGGGUGCAAGCGUUGUCCGGAUUUAUUGGGUUUAAAGGGUGCGUAGGCGGUCUUUUAAGUCAGUGGUGAAAUCCUCCAGCUUAACUGGAGAACUGCCAUUGAUACUGGGAGACUUGAGUACAGACGAGGUAGGCGGAAUUGACAGUGUAGCGGUGAAAUGCAUAGAUAUUGUCAAGAACACCGAUUGCGAAGGCAGCUUACUAGACUGUAACUGACGCUGAGGCACGAAAGUGUGGGGAUCAAAACAGG